rnacentral:rRNA from 1 species
CCUUUGAGUAACGUAGCUAACGCGUGAAGUCGACCGCCUGGGGAGUACGGCCGCAAGGUUAAAACUCAAAGGAAUUGACGGGGACCCGCACAAGCGGUGGAUGAUGUGGAUUAAUUCGAUGCAACGCGAAAAACCUUACCUACCCUUGCAUGUCAGGAACUUUCCAGAGAUGGAUUGGUGCCCGAAAGGGAGCCUGAACACAGGUGCUGCAUGGCUGUCGUCAGCUCGUGUCGUGAGAUGUUGGGUUAAGUCCCGCAACGAGCGCAACCCUUGUCAUUAGUUGCUACGCAAGAGCACUCUAAUGAGACUGCCGGUGACAAACCGGAGGAAGGUGGGGAUGACGUCAAGUCCUCAUGGCCCUUAUGGGUAGGGCUUCACACGUCAUACAAUGGUCGGUACAGAGGGUGGCAAGCCGCGAGGUGGAGCCAAUCCCAGAAAGCCGAUCGUAGUCCAUCGUAGUCGAACUCGACUACGGAAUCUUUUCUCCAGAUGAGAGUUGA